UCACUUUCGUUGUUCUCCACUACUUUUAUCACAGAAACAGAUCUGGUCGCUCCCACCACCAUCUCCAUCGGUCCGACCAACACCACACCACUACAACCAGCACUACCACCACCAUCAUUUCCGCCAUCACUACCACCACUAUCCCCAUCGCCACCAUCACUAUCUUCAUCUCCACAAUCCACAUCAUACGUAUUUUACCAUCUGCCCCCACUACUCCAAUGUUAUCCAAUUUUCACCACCGCAACAACAAAUCAUAGGUACUUUAUCAGAUUCAACUACAAAUGUAAUCUGGAAAUAUGUAUUAGGUUUAAUUUUAUUCAAAAACCUAGAUCGAUGUCAACAUCAUUUUUCUUGAAGGUUUACUGUAAAUGGAAGGGAGGAAUUGAUGAGAUUCAAGAUCAGUAUGAUUUGAAGGAUUCAUCUUCAAAAACGAUUGAAAAGGGUCAAUAAUUGUGAAGGUUGGUGUUUUGGUGGUGGACUGGUGGUGGGUGGCGGUGUUGGUGUUGUUGCAACGGUGGUGGUGGAUGUCAUUUUCAAUGAUUAUUAUUCUGGGUUAAGACAAGUCAAGUGAGUUUCUGCCAGGACUCAUGGUUUAGCUUGCAAUCGUAAAGGAGGAGUAUCUAUCUGCUAGUUGGUGCUGUGCUCGGUACUUUUUGUUGGACACAAUUUCUCUAUUAUAUGCUUUCAGGAGGAUUAAUGAUUCUUUUGGCAUGAAUUUUGAAGCUAACGUCACAAACUAUUAUAAAUCAGCAGAGAGAUAUCCAAGAGAUUGAGUGGUUGCAAUUGAGUUUGGGUACCUUUUUUUUUUUAUAGGUUUUAGCCAGUGAUGUCGCAACACUUAUUAGUACUUCAUUUGGAGACAGCUUGGGCUAGUUGGCUUCACUUUUGAAGACAACUGAGUAUGAAAAUGAAGAAUGGAAGAAAUUGAGUAUGAAUAUGAAGAAAUCAGGCUGCAGUAAGUGAUGAAGGUUGCUGAGAGCUAGUUUUGUUGGUGAUUCAAUGGGUUGGGUAUGAAGCUAUAGAAUUGCAGCAAAAGAGUGGACUGGAAUGACUUUAGAUGUUGGUUCUGGUGGUUGCUAUUGAAGAUGCAGAGUGGAGUCAGCGAUGAGAUAUGGAAGGAGCUGACAAUAUGUCAGAAGAUGGAAGGAGUUGACUGGUACUGGUAAAGAUGCAAGUGCAGGAAUUGCAGUUUUAGUGAUGCUGCAAACGCAGAAUUGCAGCUGUUGUUGGAGUUGAGCUAUAAGUUUGUGGAACAAGGUUGCAGUUGGUGAAGCAGUGAACAAAUGGGAGUUGAAGUGAAGUGCAGAACAGUUCGAUGUUGCAGCUGAAGCUUAGCCAAUAGAUUUGCAUAAGGUUAUUAAGUUGAUCUUACUGAUGGAUGCUCAGCUGGUAUAUGUGAGUUUGUUUUUUCCAAACCAGGUGAAUCAUCCAAAAAGAAGCUACAAAGUGCUAAAAAGAGCUAGGAAGAGAAGUUUUCCAAGUAUCCAAGCGCCCAAGUCCAAGAGAAGUGGGAGAAAAUGGACGAAAAGGAGCAAACGCUCAAAAUCAAGAGAAGGGCCAAAGACCGAUCUUAACUCAUUCAAAUUAAGGAUUUCUCAACAUCAUCUUGAAGAGAAUUGAAAGAUAAAAAGAAUGCAAAAAGAAUGAGGUCAUUCCGAGUUCGGAUGAAGUUGUGGCUAAAACAAGCUUUUAUUGAAUACCGAAGACAGUAAAGUUCGCGGACGGGUUUCAUACUUUAAUUCCGAAAAUUUCUGCUGGAAUUUGAAGUUCGCGGACUGGGUUCGCGAACUUAGCAAGUGGAAAAUGUGUAUUAACACCUUGGAGGGCCUAAGGGCACGUUUGGGGUCGUUACUUCGUUAUUUCGGGUCGUUACUUCGUUAUUUCGGGUCGGGUUCUUGAACCGAACUAAAUACUUGGAGGCCAAGCAAUGUAAACCUAUAAAAAGGUAUUAGGUUAUGUAAAAUUGGAUAUCAUUGAAUCUCAUAUCACAAGUUCUACAUGAAAAUCUAGGGUUCACCCCUUUAGGGGAAAACCACCAUUAUCAUCUUCUUUGUAAUAUGAUUAGCUAAAUCCAUUAUUGAUUAAGGAUGAAUUCAAUGUUCUAAGCGUGAAGCUUUAUUAAUAAUACAAAUCUAUUGAGA